GUCCACGCCCUAAACGAUGAUCACUAGGUGUUGGGGAAGCGAUUCCUUGGUACCGUAGCUAACGCGUGAAGUGAUCCGCCUGGGGAGUACGGUCGCAAGAUUAAAACUCAAAGGAAUUGACGGGGACCCGCACAAGCGGUGGAUGAUGUGGAUUAAUUCGAUGCAACGCGAACAACCUUACCUACCCUUGACAUGUCCGGAACCCUGCUGAGAGGUGGGGGUGCCCGAAAGGGAAUCGGAACACAGGUGCUGCAUGGCUGUCGU
rnacentral:rRNA from 1 species